CUCCAGCAAAGCGGCCCCUGGAAGUGGGGGCACUGCCAACCACCUGGGAACCGUGCCUCGGGACCUGCAAACAGAACCGUUCUUUCCUGUUUACCAGGACCCCAGGCCUGGUCUUUACUGAUGGAGCGUUAAAUCAGAAGAUUUUGUAGGACGCAGGAAGUCGUCUGAGGAUGAGGGCUUUGGCGUCAUCCUGUUGUAUGUAUUCGUUGCAGAUGGCAAACCAGUCAUAUGCUGUCAUCUUAUUGGGGGGGGGGGUGAACUUUCAGAAGUUUAAAUUACUGGGAGGGGAACCAGAGAAAGAAAUGACUCAGGCAAGCAUUGUUAAUGAGUACCAAAGCUGCUGGGGAAAGGAGCUGAAAGGAAGGACAUUCACAUGGUGCCAAAAUUCCAUCCAAGCUGAAUUUUGGAAAUUUCCCUGAGUGGAAAAUUCCACUCAGGGGGAAAAAAAAAGUAACUUUAUAAAAUAAAUAUUUGUAAUCAGGUGACCAACUUAGCAUCAUUUGUAAAGGGGCUCCAAGACAUUAUUUUCUCUCUGAUGUCACCGGAUAUGAAACAUUCUUGCUUCGAGUGGUUAAGCUUAAUCUGAUUGCCUUAACUUCUUAACCAAGACCUGAGUGUGAAGUGAGCUCCUGGCUUCUGUGUUGUUAGGGUUCUGCAGAAAAGAGAACCAGUAAGGUGUCUGUCCACAGAGGAGGAGGUUGACUGGAUAAAACUGGCUCACACUGUUACCGAGGCUGAGGAGUCCCAGUCCCUGCCUCCAGCUGUCUCAGUAGCUGAGGACAGCCUUGGACAUCCAAUCCUUUUGCUUCCACCUUCCAGGUACUGGGAUUACAGGCAUGUACAACUACACCCAGGUUAGACGGUUUAAUGUAUUUGGGCAUUGUCAAACAACCAAUGUCUGGGAUUAAGGGUGGAUUCAGUGGACCUUUGCCACUCUGAGUGAGUCCAUAAGUGACACUGGAGGAGAGCAAUGUCAGGUCUGGAAACAAACAAACAAACAAACAAAAGCUUCUUUAAGAGUCUCAAAGAAUAUACAAACUGGCCUAGAAGUCACUGGGUACACCAGGCUGACCUUAAACUCACAGAGAGCCAUGUGCCUUUCCUCCCAGUGGUGGGAUCAAAGGUAUAAACCACUAUGCCGGGCUUAUCUCCAUUAUUUUUAAUUAUGUGUAUUUGUGUGUGUAGGGGGGUGUUGUAAAUGUGAGUGCAGGUACCUAAAGAGUUGGCUCCCUGGGAGCAGGAGUUACAGAUGUGACAGUUCUAAGCCACCUGAUGUGGGUUCUGGGAACCAAACUCAGGUCCUCCAGAAGCGCAAUGAAUGGGCUCCCACUGCUAAGCUGUCUCUCCAGCUCACACCAUCUUAACCUGUCAAACCUGUGUUCCGUGACACCAUUCUGUGCAUACCGAGGGCUGUACCCUUCGUCUUUUCUUGAACUCUAACCCUGAGCUAAGCGUGUCAGUAAUGUAUCUCUUAAAUUGAGCAUGCUAGGGGAUGUGCCUCCCUUCAAAGAGCUUCAAGGAUCGAGUCUGUCUCCACUCUUGUUGGCCAUGCCUGUCAGCGAGCACUGAAUCCCCUAUGUUCAGUUACGCAUGCCGAUGAGAAGACACAAGAAGAUGGCCACCUAGGAACGCAAGGGGAGGCUUUAGAAGAAGGCUGCCUGUUGGCCUGUGACCUUAGAUUUUCAAACUCCAGCACUGAUAGAAGCUGCGUCCCUGCUACACAAGCCAUGGGCUUCGCCUUUCUUCUCACACAAAAGUAAAAGACUCACUCACUGCUGUCUACACCACGUAAGCAAAGCUAAGCUCUCCCAUAGGAAAGAGGGUCAUCUAGAUGAGAUGAAGUUCAAACUCUUCCUGUGGUGAGGAUGAAACCAACUGGCCAUUGUGCACCUGGGAGAGAGCAGGAAGUGGGCACAGAACAUGGCCAGGGACCACUGGGCUGCACCCAUCUCACAACUUUGAUCCCUAGAAAAUAAUUAGUUUUUUCCUAAGUGCUUCCCCUGUGCUAUUAAUAAAGUUAGAUUUUAUAACUAAAUUACAGUGCGGAACAAUGAAGUUAUUGCAGUUACUUAUCCUAUGGGACACAAACACAUUGACCCUAUGAGAGUAGGGGGAAGACGACAAUAUUUUAGCCAUGAGAUGAGUGAGCACUGUGAGGCACGGAGCUGGGGAAGGAUCCCUUCUUUGGCCAGAGUGGACUCAAACACAUCUUGUUCCUUUCUUUAAGAGCCCUGAGAUACUUCACUGGGGUUAUUUAUGUGGCUUCUCUGGGUCACAUUUCCCUCAUAUGAAAAGUGGGCAGAAUACCACUUACCUGACAGAGGUACUAGAAGAUUCUGGACAGAAAGUUUGGGUGUGGUACUGGAGUUUACUGGUGCUGUUGG
ensembl:lncRNA